GUGUUUCUCGUUUCUCGUUUGUUUAUAUAGAUUAGACAGUUGGUUUUCCCGUUUGAAUGGUUUUACACUAGUAAUUUUGGGGCCCUUUAUAGCUUGUUGUUCGGUGUGAGCCAAGGCUCCGUGUUGAAGGCCGUACUUUAACCUAUAAUGGUUUACUUUUUAAAUUGUUAUUUGUAUGGCGAGUUGUCUUAUUGGCACUCACAC
rnacentral:lncRNA from 1 species